AUAUUUUAUUUGACGAAAUUAAGAUUAAUAAUUCAAACAUCUUAUGGGGACCUAGUUUAAUUCAACGUAGAUAAAAAACACUUUGCUUAAUGAAGUGUGAAUAUAAAAAAAAGUCUUGCCAAUAAUAAUCUAUAAUGGCUAUUGUGAAGAUAAUAUUGAUAUUGACCGUACAACCCAUGUGGCAAAGUGGGUACUUAAAAAAGCUCCUUACAAACGUUGUGUAAUAUAAAAAAAAAUUGCGAUUAAAAAGAGUGUCGGAGAGUUUAUUGCCAGUUCUUCUCUUCCGUUCUACCAUUGAUUAACUUAGACUUUGGGAAAGCCAUCAGCGGUAGUCGUCAAGAACGGGGAACAAAAUAACCGGUGAAAAAAUUGUAAUACUGCGUUUAAGAUAAUUGUUUACUUCAUGAUAUUUUUUUGUAUUUUAUAAUAUUUUUAUAUUAUUAAAAUGAUUAAUUAAAUAUACUAUUAUAUUAUAUUAUAUUUAAUGACUCCCUACCAAACGUAGUAACCAAGUUAAAAACAUGGCUAACUACUUUGUAGGUUAAUAAAAGAACAAUAUAAUAAUUUACACAUUUAAUUUAAUUAUCAUAAUAAACUUUUAACACACUAAAAAAUGACUUUCAGUAAUAUAUACUUAAUCUUAAGUAUAAUAAAAACUAAUUCAAAC